rnacentral:sRNA from 1 species
GUCCACACAAAAUUUGGCAUCUUUAUGGUGACCUCCAAGGAGUGGGGGAACACCAGAUUGUCUAGGGGGAGGUGAAGUGGCCCAGGUCAGAAAUGGAACAAGUCAA